AGAACGAACGCUGGCGGCGUGCCUAACACAUGCAAGUCGAACGAGAAAAGGACUUCGGUCCUGAGUAAAGUGGCGCACGGGUGAGUAACACGUAGGUAACCUGCCUCUAGGAUUGGGAUAACCUGUCGAAAGACGAGCUAAUACCAAAUAAGACCACAGUUUCCUCGGAAGCAGCGGUCAAAGGUAGCCUCUACAUGUAAGCUAUCGCUUAGAGCUGGGCCUGCGUACCAUUAGCUAGUUGGUAGGGUAACGGCCUACCAAGGCUAAGAUGGUUAGCUGGUCUGAGAGGAUGAUCAGCCACACUGGAACUGAGACACGGUCCAGACUCCUACGGAGGCAGCAGUGGGAAUAUGCGCAAUGGGCGAAAGCCUGACGCAGCAACGCCGCGUGAGUGAUGAAGGCCUUAGGCGUAAAGCUCGUGUCGGAGGAACGAAGUGCGUCUUGGAGGUUAACGAGUCCGUCGGAAGUGAACCGGUACCCGUACGAAAACGGAACGACCGACCGGCUAACU
rnacentral:rRNA from 1 species